ensembl:lncRNA
UCAUUACCUGGAAGGAAAAGGGCCCAUAGUACCCAUGAAAACAAUGGCAGAGGUAGCAGUUCCCACGGAGAACAUGUGGCAUCUCAAUACACUUUAAAAAGGUACAAAGGCGUCGGCAUGACUUUACCUUCCAGAGUUAAGCUGCUGGUAUUUUGCUACACUGAGAUGAGGACACCGACAUUUUACACUAAGAAGAUAAGGACUAGAACUCGGAGAGCAAAACAAACCCAAAACAAAGAAGUGGCAAUGAAGAGACUGUUGGAAAGGCGUUGUAGAAGCAGGCAGAGAGAGUCCUGACCCAUCCUUUUCACCCUGUUGCUGGAGGUUCUUUUCUCCCCUGGAAAGCACUUUCCCAUUAGCUGAUCAUUUGAGCCUUGAUGCAUCAGAGUGGAUAAUACUUCCUGACAUUCAACUUCAUGGCCCUGCAACAUCAAACAUUUUAGCCGUCUUUGAACUCUGCGAAAUACAGUGACAAUAAUGUCCGCUAAAACCCUUCACUCAGCCAGGAAACCAGCCUCAGAAAGGAGAUGGGCUUCUCUAGAUGAUACACAGGUAUAUAAUCCUGCGUGAUGAAAUUCAUUUAAUGUCAUCUAAGUAAAAGUUGAAUAUCCCGUUCAGUCAUUCAUUCUUCUUUUUAAAUUUUUUAAAAAUAUUUCUUAUUUUAGUUGAGUGGCAGACAGACACACACACAGAGAGAGAGAGAGAGAGAGAGAGAGAGAGAGCACACACUUCCAUCUAAUGGUCACUUUCCAAACACCUCCAACAGCUGUGAUGGUGUGAUAGGGCUGGUGCCAGAGGCAGAAGCCAAGAACAUAAUCCAGUCUACCACAUAGGAUUCAGAAACACAAGUAUUUGAGCCAUGACUGUUGUUGUUUCCAAGCCAUGACUGUUGCCUCCAAGGGUCUGCAUUGGCGGAAAGACGGAUUCAGGAGUCAGCACCAGGAAUAGAACCCAGGCAGUCUGAUGGAAGACCUGAGCAUCCUAAUCAUUAGGCUAAACUAGUCACACAUUCUUAAAGAUUGUUCAGUACUUUAUACUCACAGCCAUGGUUCUCUUUAACCUCCAAGCUUUCUUUACACUUAGAGCUUAAGAAAAGAUCAUGCUACACUUUCCUUGGACCAUGUACCAAGGCCUAACUUCACAGAAGAAGGCUCCAGAAGGCUCCAGAGGAUCUUACAGCAGCACAGCUCCAAGAAGUUGCCUUGAUAAAGCCCAAUAAUUGCUCAUCUUUACUAGGGCUAUGAUUGACGGAAGGGAUUUCAGGCAACUCAAUGGCAGGCCAGACUCAGUUCUUCACUAGAGAGUAAGUCAUUCUGCCAGUGACCCUCUUUCCUGUACUCUUGCUCACAGCAAAAAGGAAGUGAGCAUCAAAGAACUCUGGCCUGUGUGCAAGAACUUUAUCAGGAGGAAAUGCCAUAGGAUAUGCUUUUUCUCUUCCUACAUUUGCAAGCACUAAUCAUGCACAUUUUAAUUAGUGAUCCUGCUGAUAUAAUUUGCCAAAGCUAUAGAACACUAAAAUACAGAAAUGAAAAUGUAAUUGAACUCUGGUAAAAGGCACAUUUAACAUUUAAUAGUCUAAUUCUAUGGCAAAGUAAAAUUUUUAUUUUACUUUUAUUUUAUUUUCAAGAAUGCUACCAUUUCUUACAUGAUUAACUUUAUUUAUUAAUAAAGUACUUUCUGCCUCUAAGCA